rnacentral:rRNA from 1 species
CCUACGGGGUGCAGCAGUGAGGAAUAUUGGUCAAUGGGCGGAAGCCUGAACCAGCCAAGUAGCGUGCAGGAUGACGGCCCUACGGGUUGUAAACUGCUUUUAUACGGGAAUAACGCGCCUUACGUGUAGGGCUUUGCAUGUACCGUAUGAAUAAGGACCGGCUAAUUCCGUGCCAGCAGCCGCGGUAAUACGGAAGGUCCGGGCGUUAUCCGGAUUUAUUGGGUUUAAAGGGAGCGUAGGCCGCAUGUCAAGCGUGCUGUGAAAUGUCCGGGUUCAACCCGGGCCUUGCAGCGCGAACUGGCGUGCGUGAGUGGGCGAGAAGUAUGCGGAAUGCGUGGUGUAGCGGUGAAAUGCAUAGAUAUCACGCAGAACUCCGAGUGCGAAGGCAGCAUACCGGCGCCCAACUGACGCUGAAGCACGAAAGCGUGGGUAUCGAACAGGAUUAGAUACCCGAGUAGUC